CGGAAACAAAGAUGGAUGCCGAAUCAGCGUGAUCAGACAGAAAGCUUAUAUUUGCGGGUACUUAGCGAAAAUGACUGGCGGGUACAGUACUGUUACACAAUUUGUGAGGCCAAUCAGCCAGCAACGUCCACCAUUUCUGGACACCCGUUGUCCGAUUUCACCACGACCUGGUGUACAUCUUUCAAAUGUGGAACUGUGACUAUUCACGGUAACAGUAAGAUACACGUCUUGUCCGUGACUGCAUUAUUAGCAGUAAGUCGAGCGAGGCAACUGUUGCAGCUAAUUUUCACAGACAAUUACAAACUCGGGAUGUAGUGUUCUUAUUGAUGCUGGUACUGAUUGUUCAGUAAAAUAUCCAACAAAAGUAGAAGCUCUUAUUCGCAUAAGCAGUGAAGGCCCACUUAUUAGGGCCCCGCAUGAAAUGCGGGAAGCCCUAUAGUAAUCACAUUGUCCGUCCGUUCGACCGUCCGUCUGUCUGUCCAUCAACACUUUCUUUGUGACACGAUAACUCAAACAGUUUUUAUCGUACAGUUUUCAAAUUUUGUGUAUGUGUAUAUAUUUGUUUGUUUUUUUUAAUGUAAUAUAAAAAAUGCUUCAUGUUACAUGUAUAUUGAAUUAAAACACGUCAUUCCCAGUCAACAACUUUCGAUCGGGAUCGGAAUACGAAAUAAAAUUUCCUAUAUCCGGUUGCAAAGUGAAACUGCUUCAUGCUUCAAGUUAUUGAAUCAUGUAGCAAUUGCACGUUACACAUUAGAGAACUGUUCCUUUUGAUAAAGAAAGUCACAAAAUAGAUACAAAAUGAGUGUACCUUAUUCAUUACUGUUACCGAGCUUUCGUCGGUGAAAAUCUCGAAAUGGCGUGUUUUGCUGCGCUUCGUCCACAUUUUCUAUGUGGUGACUGAAGUCUGGUCAGUCGGCAGGCAGCAGUACUCAAUUUACCGCAUUCCUACAAUCCAACUGAAAUUACGGGUAUUCAGAAUCGGCCUUCAAACAGUUGAUGAAGCCAGCCCUGGUAGAUGGAAUCUGCCGCUUGACCAGCAGCACUGUCCAGAGACAGUGGUUGAUGCUGGAUAUAUGACUUUUCCUCAGCCCAUCAUUACCUGCUGGAGUGCUGGUAGAGGCUGAACGCUUUAAUAAAUAUAACUGUGAUCUUGCUGAGAUGUAGUAAUCCAUGGGAAUUUUCCAAAGAAGAUUCAAGAGAACCAUAAAGUCUUUCACUUCGUGACCUUGACAUUAGAGUUUCAUCUACUGACCGGUUUAGGUAGGACUUUCACAUUUUGUAUACAUAUAAUGACCUGAACGUUUUACAGAAUAGUCAUAUUGGUAUUGAGGCAUUCCUGUGUUGUGUGAAUUUAAGUUUGCUUUAUGUCGUGAACUUAGGGGCUAGAUGGGGCCACAAAAUAGUGUCAACAUAUUUCAUAGGAAUAAUGAUUGAAAAUACAAAAAAAAAAUUGAAAAUCAAAACAGCUGACCAAGAGCAAGGUGACUCGGGUGAGUGAUGUGGCCUAAAGGCUUCUUUGGGAUUAAACUCUAAGGUUAUAAAGUAUGUUUCUAACAAUUUAUCUGAAAUUAUUUGUAUGUGUUGAUUUUGGGGUCCAAAAAGUCAAGGUCACUACUGGACUUCAUAGAAAAGCUAGUAUAAAUUCAUUACGGAAGCAUAUGCCCUGCGUUGCAGAGUUCUUAUUCAUAUUCUAUCAUGAAACAGAAAACAAAGUCGCUUGACAAAAUUCUCUUCCAAAAAUUUACUGAGCAUUUUCAACUUGCAGACAAUUUUACUUGCCUGUCUGAUUUCUGGUGAUUCCAGCACUCAAUGCUACUUUGGUUUUUCAGCUUUCUGGACCUUAAAAGAUGUUGACACCCUGCUGAUGGAGCAGAUCCUAUUUCUUAGAAGCAGAAAGCAGUUCUCUUACCAUCAGAUCUGAUCCAUUUUUGGAUAUAGCCUUUUGUAUGGAGCUGGGUAACGGUUACUGGAGACAUGCUGUUGAUUGAUGAGGAUAAUUUUCCCGAGACUCUGACAUAUUGCAAGACCUGGAUAGCUCUACUGGUGUUCAAAAUGCCAGGACUGUGGAGUGUUGUGAUGUUAUUGAUGGUCAACAGAAGACUGUGACCUUGAAUCUGAAGAUCUGUGAUGAAGACUGGACGUUUGGGGUCACUCUCUGUUACAGUACUACAAAUCUAA